UAAUACCGCAUGAUAUUAAUUGUCGCAUGAUAAUUAAUUGAAAGAUGCAAUUGCAUCGCUACCAGAUGGACCUGCGUUGUAUUAGCUAGUUGGUGAGGUAACGGCUCACCAAGGCGACGAUACAUAGCCGACCUGAGAGGGUGAUCGGCCACACUGGGAUUGAGACACGGCCCAGACUCCUACGGGAGGCAGCAGUAGGGAAUCUUCGGCAAUGGGGGGAACCCUGACCGAGCAACGCCGCGUGAGUGAAGAAGGUUUUCGGAUCGUAAAGCUCUGUUGUAAGAGAAGAACGGGUGUGAGAGUGGAUAUUUCACAUCUGGACGG
rnacentral:rRNA from 1 species